AUUGAACGCUGGCGGCAUGCUUUACACAUGCAAGUCGAACGGCAGCACAGGGAGCUUGCUCCCGGGUGGCGAGUGGCGCACGGGUGAGUAAUACAUCGGAACGUGUCCUGUUGUGGGGGAUAACUGCUCGAAAGGGUGGCUAAUACCGCAUGAGACCUGAGGGUGAAAGCGGGGAUCGCAAGACCUUGUGCUACUAGAGCGGCCGAUGGCAGAUUAGGUAGUUGGUGGGAUAAAAGCUUACCAAGCCAACGAUCUGUAGCUGGUCUGAGAGGACGAUCAGCCACACUGGGACUGAGACACGGCCCAG
rnacentral:rRNA from 1 species